CAAUAGCGUAUAUUAAAGUUGUUGCAGUUAAAAAGCUCGUAGUUGGAUUUCGGGGCAGCCUGGCUGGUCCGCCGCAAGGCGAGUACUGGUCAGCCGCCCUUCCUCUCGAAAGCCCCGACUGCUCUUUAUUGCAGUGGUCGGGUAGUUCGGGACGUUUACUUUGAAAAAAUUAGAGUGUUCAAGGCAGGCCUACGCCUGAAUACAUUAGCAUGGAAUAAUGGAAGAGGACCUCGGUCCUAUUUUGUUGGUUUCCAGGGCCGAAGUAAUGAUUAAGAGGGACAGUUGGGGGCAUUCGUAUUUAAUUGUCAGAGGUGAAAUUCUCGGAUUUAUGAAAGACGAACAACUGCGAAAGCAUUUGCCAAGGAUGUUUUCAUUAA
rnacentral:rRNA from 1 species